rnacentral:rRNA from 1 species
ACGCACGCUGGCGGCGUGCUUAACACCUGCCAGUCGAACGGAAAGGCCCUGCUUUUGUGGGGUGCUCGAGUGGCGAACGGGUGAGUAACACGUGAGUAACCUGCCCUUGACUUUGGGAUAACUUCAGGAAACUGGGGCUAAUACCGGAUAGGAGCUCCUGCUGCAUGGUGGGGGUUGGAAAGUUUCGGCGGUUGGGGAUGGACUCGCGGCUUAUCAGCUUGUUGGUGGGGUAGUGGCUUACCAAGGCUUUGACGGGUAGCCGGCCUGAGAGGGUGACCGGCCACAUUGGGACUGAGAUACGGCCCAGACUCCUACGGGAGGCAGCAGUGGGGAAUAUUGCACAAUGGGCGGAAGCCUGAUGUAGCAACGCCGCGUGCGGGAUGACGGCCUUCGGGUUGUAAACCGCUUUCGCCUGUGACGAAGCGUGAGUGACGGUAAUGGGUAAAGAAGCACCGGCUAACUACGUG